UUCAUGUUAAUUUGGUGGCUAACACAACAGGUGACCAGCCUGGGACAGCCAGCCAAGCUGGACAUGGCUGACAAUGUGUUUGAUGACCAGUGCGUGGGUUGUGUUGAAGAAAUGGAGAAAAGGGUGCCCCAGCUGUUAAAAGAAGAACUGAGAGUGAAUACAAAUUUAAACAUUGACUAGAAAAAGUCGGAAACAUGGAAGCAACUCAAAAACAAAAUAAGCUAUUCUGAAAAACUCAGUGAUUUCCAUGAAACAGCUCUAGUGGCCUAUACUGGGAACACUGCAAAUGAUUGUAACAAAGCUGUAAGAGAAUUCCUUCAAAAUUCACACAACUUUCAGUUUAAAGCCUUCCAUUAUUAUCUGACAAGUGCUCUUCAGCUUCUCACUACAGGGAAUUGUAACAGAGUUUACAGAGGCUCUAAAACCAAAUUUGAUUACAGUGGGGAAGGGAAUGUAUGAUUUGGGCAAUUUACUUCAUCAUCUUCAUCUCGAAAUGUAUCUGUGUCACCACCAUUUCUUGGUGAAGAGGGGACACUAUUUAUCAUCACAACCUGCCUGGGUGUUAAAAUCAAAAACUUCUCUUUCUAUCCUCAUGAAGAAGUGCUAAUUCUUUUUUGAGAGUAUAAGGUGUAUCAGAAAGUUACCAUUAAACAAACAAAUAAAAAACACAAUAAAAUUUUGCUUGAAAGUUCUAAGAAAAUAAGGAGUAACUUCAAUUGUUUCUGCGAUGGUUCUACUAAAAAUCCCAGAAAACAAGACAGCAAUUUCAACAGCUCAGGUGAGUCUGGGUCUGCAUUGGAGGUGCGAGUGGUGGGGCCAUCA
rnacentral:lncRNA from 1 species